GGCGGUGAGGCCUGUGAUCAUGGCGCUGUUCCCCGCCUUUGCGGGUGUUAGUGAGGCGCCCGAGAGCGGGAGCCCCAGGAAAGAAUUAGACUGGCUGAGCAACCCAAGCUUUUGUGUUGGAACCGUAACAUCUCUGGGCCAACAAACUGAAGAGGCCACAGCCUUUGUUUCUGAAGAGUCGCUACUGACCAGGAGUCCUCUGAAUUCAGAGCCUUCAGAUGAAAGUGACACUAACAGAAAGCCCAAACAAACAAGCAGAAAAAAGAAGAAAGAGAAAAAGAAGAAAAGGAAGCAUCAGCACCACAAGAAAACCAAGAGAAAACGUGGGCAGUCAAGUAGCAGUGGAUCUGAGUCAUAUACUGAUUCUGAAAAGGACAGAUCUUCCAGAAGCAUCAGAGACAGUAAAAAGGAAUCAGAGAAACCAAAUCAAGAAAAUAAUGCCACUGCUGAUAUUGGACGUCACUUUGUUUGGCUUGAGGACAUUCAGGCUCUGACGGGAGAAACCUUCAGAACAGAUAAGAAGCCGGAUCCUGCAAACUGGGAGUAUAAGUCUCUUUACCGAGGAGAUGUAGCAAGAUACAAGAGGAAAGGAGACUCCUGCCUUGGCAUUAACCCUAAGAAGCAGUGUGUAUCUUGGGAGGGGACUUCCACAGAGAAGAAGCGGUCACACAAGCAUGUCGAGCGCUACUUUACAAAGAAGAGUGUGGGAUUAAUGAACAUUGACGGAGUUGCCAUUAGCAGUAAAACUGAGCCUCCCUCAUCGGAGUCGAUCUCAUUUAUCCCAGUGAAGGGUGCAGAGGAUGUGGUUUCCCCUGUUACAACCUGGUUGAACCCUCUGGGGAUUUAUGAUGAAGCCACCACGCAGUGGUUACAAGGCCGGGGUCCUUCAGAGCAAGAAUCCAAGCAGCCAGAUUCACAGCCCAACAGAGAGAGCGUGCUUCUCAAGGCCAAGGUGGAGGAGUUUAACAGGAGGGUAUGGGAGAAUCCUCGGGAUGUUCAGCUGUGGAUGGCAUUUGUUGCUUUUCAGGACGAGGUCAUGAGAAGUCCGGGCCUGUAUGCCAUUGAGGAAGGAGAGCAGGAAAAGCGGAAGCGGUCCCUGAGGCUGGUUCUGGAGAAGAAGCUGGCCAUUCUGGAACGGGCCGUGGAAAGCAACCCGAGCAGCGUGGAUCUGAAACUCGCCAAGCUGCAGCUCUGCACCGAGUUCUGGGAGCCCUCCACUCUGGUCAAAGAGUGGCAGAAACUGAUAUUUUUACAUCCCAACAAUACAGCCCUUUGGCAGAAAUACCUUUUAUUUUGCCAGAGCCAGUUUAGCACCUUUUCCAUAUCAAAAAUUCAGAGUCUUUAUGGAAAAUGCUUGAGUACUUUGUCUGCUGUUAAGGACGGCAGCAUCUUGUCCCACCCUGAGCUGCCUGGCACCGAGGAGGACAUGUUUGCCCUCUUUCUUCAGCAGUGCCACUUUCUGCGGCAGGCUGGUCACUCCGAGAAGGCCGUCUCUCUGUUCCAGGCAAUGGUUGACUUCACCUUCUUCAAACCCGACAGUGUGAAAGACCUGCCUACCAAAGGACAGGUAGAAUUCUUUGAGCCCUUUUGGGACAGUGGAGAGCCCAGGGCUGGAGAGAAGGGCGCCCGAGGCUGGAGAGCGUGGAUGCACCAGCAGGAGCGGGGCGGCUGGGUGGUCGUCAGCCCAGAUGAUGACGACGAUGAACCGGAAGACGACGACCAGGAAAUUAAAGAUAAGACUCUGCCCAGGUGGCAGAUCUGGCUUGCUGCUGAGCGGUCCCGAGACCACAGACAAUGGCGGCCGUGGCGCCCUGAGAAGACCAAGAAGCAGGCGGAGGAAGACUGUGAGGACCCAGAGAGACAGGUGUUGUUUGAUGAUAUUGGACAGUCUCUGAUCCGACUUUCCAGCCCGGAUCUUCAGUUUCGGCUGAUUGCAGCCUUUCUGCAGUUCUUGGGUGUGCCUUCCGGCUUCAGCCCUCCGGCCUCCUGCCUCUAUCUGGCCAUGGAUGAGAACAGCAUCUUUGACAAUGGACUUUAUGAUGAAAAGCCCUUGACUUUUCUCAACCUUUCAUUUUCCGGCGUCAGCUGUGUCGGACGCACAGACCAACUGAGUUGCCGGCACUGGACCAGGGGUCACAGUCGAGAGGGCGAGGAGUUCAUCCGCAGCAUCUUCCACCUCGUGAUGCCUUUGUUUUCAGGCAAGGAGAGGUCUCAGCUCUGCUUCUCCUGGUUACAGUACGAGAUUGCAAAGGUCGUUUGGUGUCUGCACACUAAAAACAAGAAGAGAUUAAAAUCACAAGGAAAGAACUGCAAAAAACUAGCCAAGAAUCUCCUUAAGGAGCCAGACAACCGCAACAAUUUUUGCCUCUGGAAGCAGUAUGCGCAUCUGGAGUGGUUGCUUGGCAACACAGAGGAUGCCAGAAAAGUUUUCGAUACAGCACUCGGCAUAGCAGGGAGCAGAGAACUGAAGGACCAUGAGCUGUGUGAGCUCGGUCUCCUCUACGCCGAGCUGGAGGUGGAGCUGUUGCCGGACGUGAGGGGGGCCGCCCCAGCCCGAGCCAUUCACGUAUUGACCAGACUGACCGAGAAUGGGGCCUACGGGCCCUACACUGGGCAAGUCUCGGCCGUUCACAUUUUGAAAGCUCGGAAGGCUUAUGAACACGCGCUGCAGGACUGUUUGGGGGAGAGCUGUGUCUCCGAUCCAGCUCCCGCCGAUUCCUUUAGCCGCCUGAUUAGCCUGGUUAAAUGCUUUAUGCUCUUCCAGUAUUUGACCAUAGGGAUCGACGCUGCUGUGCGGAUAUAUGAGCAGGUAUUUGCAAAACACCAGGUCUCUGUUUCCGCAGAGGGCCCUGGUCUGGAGGGCAGUGCCAGCCCCCAGAGCCUGAGCAGCGUCCUCGAGGCCGUCACCCUGACACACACGAGCCUGCUCAGGUUCCACAUGAAAGUCGCCGUCUACCCACUGGCUCCUCUGCGAGAGGCUCUCUCGGAGGCUUUAAAGUUGUAUCCGGGCAACCAGGUUCUUUGGAGGUCAUAUGUACAGAUUCAGAAUAAGUCCCACAGUGCCAGUAAGACCAGAAGAUUCUUCGAUGCGAUCACCAGGUCUGCCAAACCCUUGGAGCCGUGGUUGUUUGCAAUUGAAGCUGAGAAAAUGAGGAAAAGACUAGUGGAAACCGUGCAGAGGGUAGACGGUAGAGAGGUCCACGCCACCAUUCCCGAGACUGGCCUGACGCAUCGGAUCAGAGCCCUGUUUGAAAAUGCGAUGCGGAGUGACUACGGCAGCCAGUGCCCCUUACUGUGGAGGAUGUAUUUGAAUUUUUUGGUUUCCUUAGGAAAUAAAGAAAGAAGCAAAGGUGUGUUCUACAAAGCACUUCAGAAUUGUCCUUGGGCAAAGGUGCUGUACCUGGAUGCCGUGGAGUACUUCCCCGAUGAGAUGCAGGAGAUCCUGGACCUGAUGACGGAGAAGGAGCUCCGGGUGCGCCUGCCGCUGGAGGAGCUGGAGCUUCUGCUUGAGGACUAGAGACCAGGAGGGGAGUGGGGCGUGCCUCCGAGGCCUCGGCGCCUGCCCCGUGGGAGCCAGGAGACACCAGAAGAGACGCUGCUGUUGAACAACUGCCACCAGCUCUGGGGGUGUGACGGGGCAGCAGGUAUUGAAGUCUGCAGUCCUUUUGGUCAGCCAGCUUCCUUAACACCCGGAUCCACCGACUUGCUGCUGCUGAGAGGCCGGUGUGGAGGGCCCAGAAACAGGAUUCAGUGUUUGAGAAAGAGCACGCUUUAUUGGGAAGAGAGCGCUGCACGCGACCAACAUACGAAGAGGGCUGGAUGGGCAUCCUACACAUCAUGCUCAAAAGGUACUCGGGGUGCUGCGCUAGUGAAGGUCAACCGGAACAUGGACUCCUGGGCAACUUCCCCAACCUCACACCUCUGAGGGGGUCGACACACUUCCAACCUUUUCCUGGAAGGCAACUGUGGUCCACUAGAGAUAGAGCCCCUCAGGGGUGCCUUCUUGUUUUUUAUAAAGAACAUUUUCUUUAGACUUUUUGAAGUCUUCAUUUGUUACUUUCAUCCUACGUUCUCUCAAGGCCAUCAGACCAGCUUCCGUACAGAUUGCCUGUAAGGAGAAACAGUGUGUUCAGAAAGUGAAAUACUUUUUAUUCCAGCAAUUCAGAGAGUGCUGUUUUGAAAUCUGGUGUAGGCACCCAACCUAAACACGAAGUUCUCACACCAUCUGGGAAUGAUUAGAUUUUUUAAAUGUUUUAAACAUUCUAAUUAUUUUCUUAAAGGACCUGAGGUGGCUUAAACUGGGAAUAUUUCACUAAGGAAGAGGACUGGCUCAGGUUCUAACCCGCCGUGUGGCCUGGCAGGUCAGGAAGUUCUCACAACCCUGCUUUCAUUAAAGGGAGUGAUCUUCCUAAGAAAUACAUAAAAUUAUUCUAGAAAUUUAGAGCCCAAAU